rfam:Sus scrofa chromosome 2.
GUCAGGAUGGCCGAGUGGUCUAAGGCGCCAGACUCAAGGUGUGUACCUUGCCUAUGGGUGUUCUGGUCUCCAGAUGGAGGCGUGGGUUCGAAUCCCACUUCUGACA